rnacentral:rRNA from 1 species
UACGUAGGGUGCAAGCGUUAAUCGGAAUUAUUGGGCGUAAAGCGCGUGUAGGCGGCUUUGCAAGUCGGGUGUGAAAGCCCUCAGCUCAACUGAGGAAGUGCGCCCGAAACUGCAGAGCUUGAGUGCCGGAGAGGGUGGCGGAAUUCCCCAAGUAGAGGUGAAAUCGUAGAUAUCGAGAGGAACACCGGUGGCGAAGGCGGCCUUCUGGACAGCAACUGACGCUGAGACGCGAAAGCGUGGGGAGCAAACAGG